UGCUCAUUGCCAUGACAGUAACAACCAAAUU
rnacentral:piRNA from 1 species